UACGAAGGGGGCUAGCGUUGUUCGGAGUUACUGGGCGUAAAGGGCGCGUAGGCGGCGCACCAAGUCAGGCGUGAAAGCCCUGGGCUCAACCCGGGAAUUGCGCUUGAAACUGCAGUGCUAGAAUUCUGGAGAGGCGAGUGGAAUUCCGAGUGUAGAGGUGAAAUUCGUAGAUAUUCGGAAAGAACACCAGUGGCGAAGGCGACUCGCUGGACAGACAUUGACGCUGAGGUGCGAAAGCGUGGGGAGCAAACAGG
rnacentral:rRNA from 1 species